rnacentral:rRNA from 1 species
CCUACGGGAGGCUGCGGUGGGGAAUAUUGGACAAUGGGCGAAAGCCUGAUCCAGCCAUGCCGCGUGUGUGAAGAAGGCCUUCGGGUUGUAAAGCACUUUCAGUGGGGAAGAAAGCCUUGGGGCUAAUACCCUCGAGGAAGGACAUCACCCACAGAAGAAGCACCGGCUAACUCCGUGCCAGCAGCCGCGGUAAUACGGAGGGUGCGAGCGUUAAUCGGAAUUACUGGGCGUAAAGCGCGCGUAGGCGGUCUGAUAAGCCGGUUGUGAAAGCCCCGGGCUCAACCUGGGAACGGCAUCCGGAACUGUCAGGCUAGAGUGCAGGAGAGGAAGGUAGAAUUCCCGGUGUAGCGGUGAAAUGCGUAGAGAUCGGGAGGAAUACCAGUGGCGAAGGCGGCCUUCUGGACUGACACUGACGCUGAGGUGCGAAAGCGUGGGUAGCAAACAGGAUUAGAUACCCUGGUAGUC